rnacentral:rRNA from 1 species
GACGAACGCUGGCGGCGUGCUUAACACAUGCAAGUCGAGCGGUAAGGCCCUUUCGGGGUACGACGAGCGGCGGACGGGUGAGUAACACGUGGGUGACCUGCCCUCAGCUCUGGGAUAAGCCUGGGAAACCGGGUCUAAUACCGGAUAUGACUCCAUGACGCAUGUUGUGGGGUGGAAAGCCUUGUGCGGCUGAGGAUGGGCCCGCGGCCUAUCAGCUUGUUGGUGGGGUGAUGGCCUACCAAGGCGACGACGGGUAGCCGGCCUGAGAGGGCGACCGGCCACACUGGGACUGAGACACGGCCCAGACUCCUACGGGAGGCAGCAGUGGGGAAUCUUGCGCAAUGGGCGAAAGCCUGACGCAGCGACGCCGCGUGAGGGAUGACGGCCUGU